GACGAACGCUGGCGGCGUGCUUAACACAUGCAAGUCGAACGGAAAGGCCCUGCUUUUGUGGGGUGCUCGAGUGGCGAACGGGUGAGUAACACGUGAGUAACCUGCCCUUGACUUUGGGAUAACUUCAGGAAACUGGGGCUAAUACCGGAUAGGAGCUCCUGCUGCAUGGUGGGGGUUGGAAAGUUUCGGCGGUUGGGGAUGGACUCGCGGCUUAUCAGCUUGUUGGUGGGGUAGUGGCUUACCAAGGCUUUGACGGGUAGCCGGCCUGAGAGGGUGACCGGCCACAUUGGGACUGAGAUACGGCCCAGACUCCUACGGGAGGAAACAGUGGGGAAUAUUGCACAAUGGGCGAAGCCUGAUGCAGCAACGCCGCGUGCGGGAUGACGGCCUUCGGGUUGUAAACCGCUUUCGCCUGUGACGAAGCGUGAGUGACGGUAAUGGGUAAAGAAGCACCGGCUAACUACGUG
rnacentral:rRNA from 1 species